GAUGAACGCUGGCGGUAUGCCUAACACAUGCAAGUCGUACGAGAGUUUUUAACUCUAGUGGCGGACGGGUGAGUAACACGUGAGAAUUUGCCUUUAGGAGGGGAUAACAAUUGGAAACGAAUGCUAAUACCCCAUAUGCUUUUGAGUGAAAUGGAUUUUAUCCGCCUAGAGAGAAGCUCGCGGCUGAUUAGCUUGUUGGUAAGGUAAGAGCUUACCAAGGCGACGAUCAGUAUCUGGUUUGAGAGGACGAUCAGACACACUGGCACUGAGAUACGGGCCAGACUCCUACGGGAGGCAGCAGUAGGGAAUAUUGGGCAAUGGACGCAAGUCUGACCCAGCCAUGCCGCGUGCAGGAUGAAGGCGUUAUGCGUGUAAACUGCUUUAUACAGGAAGAAACGACUACUUGCGAGAGGCAUUGACGGUACUGUAUGAAUAAGCACCGGCUAACUCCGUGCCAGCAG
rnacentral:rRNA from 1 species